rnacentral:rRNA from 1 species
AUACGGAGGGUGCGAGCGUUGUUCGGAAUCAUUGGGCGUAAAGGGCGUGUAGGCGGAUCGAUAAGUCCUUGGUGAAAUUUUCACCGCUUAACGGGGAAACUGCUGAGGAUACUGUCGGUCUAGAGGGCAUCAGAGGAGAGUGGAAUUCCAGGUGUAACGGUGGAAUGUACAGAUAUCUGGAAGAACCCCCGUGGCGAAGGCGACUCUCUGGGAUGCACCUGACGCUGAGACGCGAAAGCCAGGGGAGCGAACGGGAUUAGAAACCCCAGUAGUCC